rnacentral:rRNA from 1 species
UACAGAGGUGGCAAGCGUUGUUCGGAAUUACUGGGCGUAAAGGGCGCGUAGGCGGUCUUGCAAGUCCUGUGUGAAAUCCCUCGGCUCAACUGAGGAACUGCACAGGAAACUGCUUGGCUUGAGUUCGGGAGAGGGAAGCGGAAUUCCGGGUGUAGCGGUGAAAUGCGUAGAUAUCCGGAGGAACACCGGUGGCGAAGGCGGCUUCCUGGACCGGUACUGACGCUGAGACGCGAAAGCCAGGGGAGCAAACGGG